CCUACGGGCGGCAGCAGUGAGGAAUAUUGGUCAAUGGGCGUAAGCCUGAACCAGCCAAGUCGCGUGAGGGAUGAAGGUUCAAUGGAUCGUAAACCUCUUUUAUAAGGGAAUAAAGUGCGGGACGUGUCCCGUUUUGUAUGUACCUUAUGAAUAAGGAUCGGCUAACUCCGUGCCAGCAGCCGCGGUAAUACGGAGGAUCCGAGCGUUAUCCGGAUUUAUUGGGUUUAAAGGGUGCGUAGGCGGCCUUUUAAGUCAGCGGGGAAAGUCGGUGGCUCAACCAUAGAAUUGCCGUUGAAACUGGGAGGCUUGAGUAUGUUUGAGGCCGGCGGAAUGCGUGGUGUAGCGGUGAAAUGCUUAGAUAUCACGCAGAACCCCGAUUGCGAAGGCAGCCUGCCAAGCCAUGACUGACGCUGAUGCACGAAAGCGUGGGGAUCAAACAGGAUUAGAGACCCUUGUAGUC
rnacentral:rRNA from 1 species